UACGGAGGGUGCGAGCGUUAAUCGGAAUUACUGGGCGUAAAGCGCACGUAGGCGGUUGAGUAAGUCGGAUGUGAAAGCCCUGGGCUUAACCUGGGAAUUGCAUCUGAUACUGCUCGGCUAGAGUAUGUUAGAGGGAAGUGGAAUUUCAGGUGUAGCGGUGAAAUGCGUAGAUAUCUGAAGGAACACCAGUGGCGAAGGCGACUUCCUGGGACAAUACUGACGCUGAGGUGCGAAAGCGUGGGGAGCAAACAGG
rnacentral:misc_RNA from 1 species